AGUGGGCCAGACGAUCGCGGGGCUCAAGGCCUGCAAGAGGCCGUGAGCCAUGAGGAAAGUCCGGGCUCCACAGGGCAGGAAGCAGGCUAACGGCCUGGCGGGGUGACCCGACGGAAAGCGCCGCAGAAAAGAAGACUCCCGCUGCUCGCUUGGGCGAGUGAGGGAAAAGCUGAAACGGUGGUGUAAGAGACCACCAGCGUCUGGGCGACCAGGCGGCUUGGCAAGCCCCUUCCGGAGCAAACGCAAAUAGGAGCGCCAUGGUGUUGCCCGCACCGCGCUCGGGUUGCGCGCUAGAGGGCGUCGGCAACGGCGCUCGUAGACAAAUGAUCGUCCUCGACAGAACCCGGCUCACCGGCCCACUU
rnacentral:RNase_P_RNA from 1 species